AUUGAACGCUGGCGGCGUGCCUAACACAUGCAAGUCGAGCGGUAACAGGUGUAGCAAUACAUGCUGACGAGCGGCGGACGGGUGAGUAACGCUUGGGAAUCUGCCUAUUAGUGGGGGACAACCCGGGGAAACUCGGGCUAAUACCGCAUACGCUCUACGGAGGAAAGCCGGGGACCGCAAGGCCUGGCGCUAAUAGAUGAGCCCAAGUCGGAUUAGCUAGUUGGUAGGGUAAUGGCCUACCAAGGCGACGAUCCGUAACUGGUCUGAGAGGACGACCAGUCACACCGGAACUGAGACACGGUCCGGACUCCUACGGGAGGCAGCAGUGGGG
rnacentral:rRNA from 1 species